CAAUACUAUUGGUGGCGACCGGCGCACGGGUGAGUAACACGUAUGCAACCUACCCUUUAUCGGGGGAUAACCCGGAGAAAUCCGGACUAAUACCGUAUGAAGAUAUGUUUUCUCAUGAGAAUAUAUUUAAACGACAAGGAUAAAGGAUGGGCAUGCGUAUGAUUAGUUAGUUGGUAGGGUAACGGCCUACCAAGGCGACGAUCAUUAGGGGUUCUGAGAGGAAGGUCCCCCACACUGGUACUGAGACACGGACCAGACUCCUACGGGAGGCAGCAGUGAGGAAUAUUGGUCAAUGGGCGAGAGCCUGAACCAGCCAAGUCGCGUGCAGGAAGAAUGUCCUAUGGAUUGUAAACUGCUUUUCCGGUAGAAUAAAAUGAUCCAUGUAUGGAUUUUUGCAAGUAUACCGGGAAUAAGGAUCGGCUAACUCCGUGCCAGCAGCCGCGGUAAUACGGAGGAUCCGAGCGUUAUCCGGAUUUAUUGGGUUUAAAGGGUGCGUAGGCGGAUGGUUAAGUCAGUGGUGAAAUUUUUGCGCUUAACGUAAACAUUGCCGUUGAAACUGGUCAUCUAGAGUGCAAAUGAGGUAGGCGGAAUGUGUUGUGUAGCGGUGAAAUGCAUAGAUAUAACACAGAACCCCGAUUGCGAAGGCAGCUUACUGGGAUGCAACUGACGCUGAAGCACGAAAGCGUGGGGAUCAAACAGGAUUAGAUACCCUGGUAGUCCACGCAGUAAACGAUGAAUACUAACUGUUUGCGAUAUAAAGUAAGCGGUCAAGCGAAAGCGUUAAGUAUUCCACCUGGGGA
rnacentral:rRNA from 1 species